rnacentral:lncRNA from 1 species
CCUGCGUGGUUGCUCAAACACAGCCACCAUAUCUCCCAACUUGCUCCACAACAGUGGUUACUUACUAUUUAAAAGUAAUAGAUUAAUGCUGUGCUUAUUUUAAGAUUACUAUUUAUGAUAUUUUAAAAAAAUAACACGGGUAGUGUUUGAAUAAAUAAGAUAUUAAUUUAUUACGUCCACAUUUUUGUUGAUGUAUGAAUUCAUCCAAUUGUUUCAGUAAUUUUGAAUCCUACAAUAAAUAAAUAUAAAUUUCUAUACAGAUUCCAAUGCCAAAAACUUAUUUGAUUUGUAACAACAUUAAUAAAAAAGACAAGCAGCAACAAAAGGAAUUUAUUUUUAUCCUUUUCUUACUUUUGUAUUGUUGUACUUAGAUGGGUUCAGGAUGUAUCAGCCAUGUCAUCAUUCUGCAUUUGUAC